UUUUGCUUCUUAUAGUUUCAUUUCUGUUUAUAUCACCAAACUUCUAUGUUGUCUUAUUUUUCAGUAAGAGCCCUUAACAUAUCAAUCACAGUUACUUUAGAUUCUUAUUUGAUCAUUUCAGCCUCUGUGUUUUGAGUCUGGUUCCACUAAUUGCUUUGUCUCUUCAGACUGUCUUUUGCCCUCACCAUACGGCAUGCAUUAUAAUAUUUUUUGUUUAAUUGUAUCUGAUAUUAGGGAUUGAGAUAAAUAGGGUUUUAGUGUGAUAUUUAUUUUAAUCUGUCUAGGAGUUGUGUUCUGUUUAAUGUUUACUGUUGAUAGAGGUAUCAGAAGUGUCAAAUUCCUUUACUGUGUUUUUUUGUCUCUUCUUUUUACUCUGGACUUCCUCAACUUCUCUUCUGAGAGAGUUGUUAUUUUCCAGCUCUUUCAACUGUAAUCCACUGUUACUUUAUUGAAAACUGUGGGAUGGUAAGAUGCAGGGGAGGAACUGGUGAGAUGUUUUAAUUAAGUCUGUAUCUUGUAGUUGUGAACUUCACAAGUAUUUCUCCAGUAUCAUAGCUGUUUUUUUCCUUGACCCCUACUCUUUUGUCUGACUCUAGUGUUACCCAUCUAUGUCCUCAAAGCACUAAACUGUAUUGAUGUGUGUGUGUGUAUGUGUGUGUGUGUGUGUGUGUGUGUGUUUGUAAGAUAGGGUUCCUUGAGUAAGCUGGAGUAAGGGGAAUACCCUUCCCCCAACUGGAAUAGAUUUGUCCAAGUCCUUCCCCUGAAUAUUAGGCCUUUGUUGUGGAGAAUUCUUGGGAUGUAUUGAUUCAUCUUCUCCCCUUUGCAGAAUCAUGAGGGGGUCUUUCUCAAAUAUUUGCCAUGAAAAAUAUGUGAGCUUCUUUAUGGUAAAGACCAUAGACAUGAGGGAGUUCCUAGGAGUUUCCCUCCUUUCAUUCUAGUCCACAUCAGUUCAGCUAUGUAUCUAAAUUGCCAUUGAAGUGUUUCUACUGGUUUGUGGCUUCUAUUUUGGCAAAGCAGAUCUCACUCAUAUUUCAAUGGGUGACUGUCCACAUUUUGGAGUGACAGUCUACCCCACAUCCUUAGGUCUCUGAUUGAUUCCUCAGUUGUUCCACCUUUAACUUAUUCCAAGGGCAGAAAUGGUGACUUCCAGGUCUUUACAUGUCAGAGUUAAAAUCAGAAGUCUUAAAUUUUUUUAAUAUAAAAGAAAAACUUUCAUUACUUUAAGUACACCCAAAAUAGUUCUGAUGCAUUUUUAAAAAUAGCUCAUUUAAUUAUGAUUUAUUGUUAUUGCAUUUAGAAUGCUUGCUCCUGCAUUCAUAGUAGCCAUAUUUUAUAAAUUUAUUUUUAGGGACACCUGAGGUGGCUGCCUUCAGCUCAGGUCAUGAUCCUGGGAUCUGGGAUUGAGUCCCGCAUCAGAUUCCUGUGAGGAGCCUGCUUCUUUCUCUGCCUGCCUCUCUCUCUGUCUCUCAUGAAUAAAUAAAUAAAUAUUUAAAAAAUAAAUAAAUUUAUUUUUAACAGUAUCAUUUCCUGGUUUAGUUACUAUAAUUAAGCUAGUCUGAGAAAGUGAUAGUUAAAAUAUACUUAAACACUCAUAAAAUUCACUAGUAAUAGUAUUUAUGUCUGGAAUAUUCUUGUUUGGAAAUAUGUUCAUUAUGGAUUCCAUGCUUUAGCAGAUAUAGAACAAUUUAUAUUUUCCAUUUUUUACAGUUUUUAUUUAAAUUUCAGUUAGUUAACAUAUAGUAUAAUAUUGAUUUCAGGUGUACAAUUUAGUGAUUCAAAAGUUACAUACAGCACCCAGUGCCCAUCAGAACAAGUGUAUGCCUUAAUUUUUUAAUCCAUCCCCUUAUCCAUCUCCCCUCCAAUAGCCACCAGUUUGCUUUCUUCCUUUUUGUGUGUGAUUUUUUCACUGGUUGUGUUUUUCAGGAUUUCCCCAUUUUAUUAAUAAUUUUUAAAUGAUUGGCAAAAAAUUACUCUUCAAAUGUACUUCAUGUUUAAAAAAAAUUAUGUUAGGAGAUUUUCCAGCAACCUACAAAGGCAAAUAGAGCAUCUAGAUGACUAUGAGCAUUUUUAUACAUUCCCCAUACAUUGCCAGGUUUUGAUAAUAAGAUGAAAAUGCUACCUUGACUAAAGGAUAAUUUCUACAUGUACAAAAGUAUCUGCAAAUUCUACUCUUACCUGAACAAUAGGAUUUCCCAGUACUCAGGAAGUUGCAAAAAGGUCAAAAAUGAUUUUUAGAUAAAUAUCCAUUAUUAGCAAAUACUACUUUAACUGACCUGUUAUAUAGUUCUUUCAAUUAACUCCAUUUGGCUUUAAUCAAAUAAAGUCCAUCCAAUCAUCUUAAUUUUACCUAACUAAAAUACUACUUAUUAUAAAUUUAACCUAAAUUCCACCCUUUAUCAAAAUUCUCUAUAACAUUGCUUCUUUCUGUAUAGCCAGGGCAAGAUGGCGGAAGAGUAGUUUCCCCAA
rnacentral:lncRNA from 1 species